rnacentral:tRNA from 1 species
GCCUUUGUAGUGUAACGGUAGCACAUUCGACGCGUAUUCGAGAGGUCCAGGUUCGAUUCCCGGCGAGGGCA